rnacentral:rRNA from 1 species
UGGGGAAUAUUGGACAAUGGGCGAAAGCCUGAUCCAGCCAUGCCGCGUGUGUGAAGAAGGUCUUCGGAUUGUAAAGCACUUUAAGUUGGGAGGAAGGGCAUUAACCUAAUACGUUAGUGUUUUGACGUUACCGACAGAAUAAGCACCGGCUAACUCUGUGCCAGCAGCCGCGGUAAUACAGAGGGUGCAAGCGUUAAUCGGAAUUACUGGGCGUAAAGCGCGCGUAGGUGGUUUGUUAAGUUGGAUGUGAAAUCCCCGGGCUCAACCUGGGAACUGCAUUCAAAACUGACUGACUAGAGUAUGGUAGAGGGUGGUGGAAUUUCCUGUGUAGCGGUGAAAUGCGUAGAUAUAGGAAGGAACAUCAGUGGCGAAGGCGACCACCUGGACUAAUACUGACACUGAGGUGCGAAAGCGUGGGGAGCAAACA